rnacentral:rRNA from 1 species
CAAUAGCGUAUAUUAAAGUUGUUGCAGUUAAAAAGCUCGUAGUUGAAUUUCUGGCGGGCGCGCCGGUCUUCCAAGUGUUGUACUGGGCGCAGUCCGCCAUCCUUGUGGAGAGGGCUCGCAUUGAGUUGCGUGUCGGAUCUGCAUCAUUUACUGUGAAAAAAUUAGAGUGUUUAAAGCAGGCUGUCGCUUGAAUACAUUAGCAUGGAAUAAUGAGGUAGGACUUCGGUCUAUUUUGUUGGUUGCGAACCGAGGUAAUGAUUAAUAGGGAUAGUUGGGGGUAUUCAUAUUUAAUUGUCAGAGGUGAAAUUCUUGGAUUUAUGAAAGAUGAACAACUGCGAAAGCAUUUACCAAGGAUGUUUUCAUUA